ACUGAUCAAUGAUCGAAAACUUACUUACUUUGUGGACUGUUGGAUGAAGCUUACGGAUAUGGGACUGAGAUCAGAU